rnacentral:rRNA from 1 species
UGGGGAAUAUUGCACAAUGGGCGCAAGCCUGAUGCAGCAACGCCGCGUGAGGGAUGACGGCCUUCGGGUUGUAAACCUCUUUUAGUAGGGAAGAAGCGAAAGUGACGGUACCUGCAGAAAAAAGCACCGGCUAACUACGUGCCAGCAGCCGCGGUAAUACGUAGGGUGCGAGCGUUGUCCGGAAUUAUUGGGCGUAAAGAGCUCGUAGGCGGUCUGUCGCGUCUGCUGUGAAAAACCCGAGGCUCAACCUCGGGCCUGCAGUGGGUACGGGCAGACUAGAGUGCGGUAGGGGAGAAUGGAAUUCCUGGUGUAGCGGUGGAAUGCGCAGAUAUCAGGAGGAACACCGAUGGCGAAGGCAGUUCUCUGGGCCGUAACUGACGCUGAGGAGCGAAAGCGUGGGGAGCGAACAGGAUUAGAUACCCUGGUAGUCCACGCCGUAAACGUUGGGCGCUAGAUGUGGGGACCAUUCCACGGUUUCCGUGUCGCAGCUAACGCAUUAAGCGCCCCGCCUGGGGAGUACGGCCGCAAGGCUAAAACU